UGCCCUGAUGUAGAGAAAGCAUCAUGU
rnacentral:piRNA from 1 species